rfam:Tetraodon nigroviridis, WGS project CAAE01000000 data, contig: CNS0BYVJ, chromosome: 14
CCUUCGAUAGCUCAGUUGGUAGAGCGGAGGACUGUAGAGGCUCAGCUGGCAUCCUUAGGUCGCUGGUUCAAAUCCGGCUCGAAGGA